UACAGGGGGUGCAAACGUUGCUCGGAAUCAUUGGGCGUAAAGCGCACGUAGGCGGUCUGUUAUGUCGGAUGUGAAAGCCCUCGGCUCAACUGAGGAAGUGCAUCCGAAACUGGCAGGCUAGAGUACUAAAGAGGGUCGCGGAAUUCCCGGUGUAGAGGUGAAAUUCGUAGAUAUUGGCUGGAACACCGGUGGCGAAAGCGGCUCUCUGGCCCGGUUCUGACGCUGAGGCGCGAAAGCGUGGGGAGCAAACGGG
rnacentral:rRNA from 1 species